GAAAGAUUCAUCGGAAGAGGAUGGGCAUGCGGCGCAUUAGCUUGACGGCGGGGUAACGGCCCACCGUGGCGACGAUGCGUAGGGGUUCUGAGAGGAAGGUCCCCCACACUGGUACUGAGACACGGACCAGACUCCUACGGGAGGCAGCAGUGAGGAAUAUUGGUCAAUGGGAGAGAUCCUGAACCAGCCAAGCCGCGUGAGGGAAGACGGCCCUAUGGGUUGUAAACCUCUUUUGUCGGAGAACAAAACCCGGGACGUGUCCCGGACUGCGUGUAUCCGAAGAAAAAGCAUCGGCUAACUCCGUGCCAGCAGCCGCGGUAAUACGGAGGAUGCGAGCGUUAUCCGGAUUUAUUGGGUUUAAAGGGUGCGUAGGCGGUCCGUUAAGUCAGCGGUAAAAUUGCGGGGCUCAACCCCGUCGAGCCGUUGAAACUGGCAGACUUGAGUUGGCGAGAAGUACGCGGAAUGCGCGGUGUAGCGGUGAAAUGCAUAGAUAUCGCGCAGAACUCCGAUUGCGAAGGCAGCGUACCGGCGCCAGACUGACGCUGAGGCACGAAAGCGUGGGGAUCGAACAGGAUUAGAUACCCUGGUAGUCCACGCAGUAAACG
rnacentral:rRNA from 1 species